CAGUUUCGUAAUGAAAGUAGUUUCCUCGCGAGAUCAGAAAUUUCUUCCUUUUCAUCGUUAUUAUGUUAUCGUCUUUUUAGACCUGGGAAAAAAAUUUGUAUUGUAUCUAAAUGAAUUAUGCAGCACAUCCAUUUAUAUCAGGCACUAAUCAAUUCAAUUGUAUAUUUUCUUUAAUGAAGAGGUCACUGAUUGAAAAUCCAUGCAAAGUUACUUAUUACAAGAAGACAAAAUUUGUUCACACUCAUAAUUUCAAUUGGAAGAUAUGUUUUGAAAUGUAAGCUCAAAAUGGUACAAAAAUGUUAUUACAAGAGUAAAAGAAACAAAAGCGAAGGAAUUUUGACCUCGUAACGAAUACGUAAUUGCUGAUGAAAAAAAAGUCAGCACCGGGAAGCGUCUGCAUGAGUUUUUAUAGCAUAAAUAAUGCAGAGUGGUUUUGGGAGACGCGCCAGUAUGCAGCGACGUUUGUUAAAUAUAACUUCGUACGUUGGAAUAACUACCGUCUGAGUAAACACACGUUUUAUACCAGGUUUCAGAGUGCAACACAUUGGCAGUUUUAGACGAACAAUAAGUAUCUAUGGGUCCUUGUUUCUUAAACAGACUACAAUAUUACUAAGCUCUUGUAGUAUCUUCAGUAGUUAUUCUGUAAAUUUGUCAGACGUUUAGAAUGAUAGUUUUAUUCAUUGAGAAAAUGUAAAUUGGUUGAUAUACCAGAAAUGUAUUUACAGUGAAUUGAGAAAGUACAUAUUAGUACACUGUUUUCUUGUAGUUAAUUUAUUAUAGAUAACAUGCUAUGAGAAUACCAUUAUAUUCCAUGCAGGACAUCACAAGGCACUUGGAAGAAAUUAGAGACUAUAGGUACAUCAGUGAAAAUGCAUCUCCAUGAUAGUCUCUAUUGUAAACAUCAAUAUUUAUAGCUCUAUGAAGACUCUAUGAAUCUGAAACAUGAAACAGUAAAAAGAUCACAAAUAGUUUUUCAAGUUCAUGGAACUUAAACAAAUAUGAUUAAUAAGCUUCACAAACAUUAAUUUGAGCUUUGUCAACUUUAGAAUUACCAUGAGACACAAUAACUUGCUGGUGAUCGUCUGAUGGCCACGCGUUGCUUUCCGAGGGAGCGGUCUAAAAAUAUGUUGGAAAGAAGUAUGCGACAUUGGCCGAACUAUGAAA